UCAACUAUUUUUAAAAAUUCUCAAAAAUUCCAGAAAUGAAGAUCUCAAAGAGCAAAGCAAAGUUUAUGCAUGCAGCUAAGUCCAAUUUGGCCUAGAAAGGUUCCAAUUUCACUGGAACCUGUCAGAAACCCCUAGAAAUGGGUGUAUUUCAAUUCGACCUCCAUAGCAACUCCGACGCCCCAACCAAUGUUUGGGCUUUGUUCUAUACCUCAAGGAGAGUCUAAUGGUGGUAGUAAUUGGAUGAAAUCAUUUUAUAUUUGGAAGAUCGAAGACACGGAUUCACCGCACCCAUAGGUACAGUUUUCAUCAAAUCAGAGGCAAACUCCAUAAAUUUUGGGUUGUUAUUGGUAGAGGGAAGGGCAUUGAGUGUUUCCUAAGUGUUAAUUUGACAUGAAUCGCCGGAAAAAUGGGUGGAAUUGGCCGGAAUAACCCCGGCCAAAACGGGUUGGGUGGCGUGGGUGCACGAGUCCAAAAAAUAGGGGAGAUUUGUUCCCUCAUUUCCCUCCUUACUCUAUUUUUUUAUUGGGUCCGAUCCUACCCCUCCUCUCAUUUCUCUUCUCUCCAUCUCAUCCCAACCAUCCAUUUCUUUUUUCCCUUUCCUCCUAGGCACACAUAUGGCUUUCACAGAUAUUUGCUCCAGAAAUCUGGAGCCUUCCAAAUCAAUUAAAAUUACCAUUUUAUCCCUAACUUUAAACGUUAAUAACUCUCUUGUUAUAAUUCCAAAUUGUGCUAUGUUUGCACUCACGCGUCCGUACCAAUGAGUACUAAGAGGAUACACUAAGAAAAUGAGUCUUACAUGACACAACAUGGUAGUCAACAAAAGUCAACAUUCUACCUCUAAG
rnacentral:lncRNA from 1 species